AUUGAACGCUGGCGGAAUGCUUUACACAUGCAAGUCGAACGGCAGCACGGGGGCAGCCCUGGUGGCGAGUGGCGAACGGGUGAGUAAUACAUCGGAACGUGCCCGGUCGUGGGGGAUAACGUAGCGAAAGUUACGCUAAUACCGCAUACGAUCUGAGGAUGAAAGCGGGGGACCUUCGGGCCUCGCGCGUUGGGAGCGGCCGAUGUCAGAUUAGGUAGUUGGUGGGGUAAAGGCCUACCAAGCCGACGAUCUGUAGCUGGUCUGAGAGGACGACCAGCCACACUGGGACUGAGACACGGCCCAGACUCCUACGGGAGGCAGCAGUGGGGAAUUUUGGACAAUGGGCGCAAGCCUGAUCCAGCCAUUCCGCGUGCAGGACGAAGGCCUUCGGGUUGUAAACUGCUUUUGUACGGAACGAAAAGGCUCUGGCUAAUACCUGGGGCUCAUGACGGUACCGUAAGAAUAAGCACCGGCUAACUACGUG
rnacentral:rRNA from 1 species